rnacentral:lncRNA from 1 species
CCCAGAUUACUACCUGGGUCCCCUCCCGCCUCCCCAGGUCUGUUUCUAGCCAACCCCACAGGUUCGCCUACCCAGAGCCCGGCAUUUCUACCCGCUCCGGACCCUCCCCAGUCUCCGCGCCCCCGGCCACCACUCCCCCGGCCCCAACGGCCGAGGGCGACAGUUAACGGCCGGCCAGCUGCGCCCUCACCUUGGUUCACCAGCCGCAGAGCGUGCGUGAAGGAGGGGUCCAGGGAGUCCUUCUCCGCCAUCAGCUCCGGCAGGAAAUAGGCGGGCGCGCUGUCCUUUGUUGACGCCUGGGCUCUCGGUGCCUAACGAGGGACCCCAGGUACCGAUGUCGGUUACAUAAAAGCGCGCGCCCUUCAGGGCGCCUUCGUCAUCCCGACUUGCCACCGGCGAGUGUCUCUUCUCCAAGAAAGAGCUGUGACUGGAGGAGGAAGAGGGAGCCUUGCAGGAGCCUGUCCCCUCAUGGGGAGAGUCCCCUGGACACACGUGGAUGCUGAUGUCCUAGGUCCCCUUCUGUCCCCUUCCCCAACAAGCCCUCCCUCAGGACGUUUUCAGGUUUCCUCAGCUUGUGGAGUAAAAUGUCCCUGAGCAAGCCAAAGACUCCUGAGUCUGUCCUAGGUUUCCCCUGCCAAACCCCAUCCCCAAGUCCUGGCCUCGAUGUCACCUUUCCUGGACAGCUUUCCAAGACUUCCUCUGCAAAGCAGUCCAGGCACCAUCCCCUCCUCCCCUCCCUGGACCUGGACCUGCGCUGGCCAGCCCUGGCUCACAGCUGUAAUUCUGUUUCCAGAAGACCCUGAGCAUCUCAGGGGCAGAGCUAGAAUUUUGUUUUGCAGCAUCUGGUGCCUUUGGGACAGGUGUGGGGGCACCAGAAAUGUUUGUUGAAGGAAGAGACCAGUGGAAUGCGGAUCCUGUGGCCAGCUGCCUGGGGCAGAUCUUCCUCCCAGGCUCAUGAAGGCCUCCACAGCCAGAGACGCUGAGAGUGGAAAUCAAGGAUCGCUAAGCUGCUCUGAGUCUCAGCUCCCAAGCACCCACUCAUGCACAAACACCCCAUCCCCUUUUCCACCCCUAGACUGCAGUGGCUCCCAGCAGAAGUGUCCUUUCAGAGUUCCCAGAAGGAAUGUUCACGUCUCUCUUUGUUCUGAACUCUCAAGAAGCAGUCAAAGGGUGUCAGUUCCUGACAGCUGUGAGCGGCUCCAGCCCUCCUCCACUGGCAAGGCCGGCAGACACGUCCCCCUGGCAGCUGGGGAGGAGGGCUGUACACCAGGAAGCUGA